UGCCUCGUAGCUCAGUUGGCUAGAGCUUUGGCUGUACUAAAGUCUUCCCCUUGCUGGCAUGGGUUCCAAUCCCACCGAGGCCG
rfam:Schistocephalus solidus strain NST_G2 genome assembly, scaffold: SSLN_scaffold0000164